UUUUUAUUCCUAUUUCGGGUUUAUAGUAAAGGAUAAUAUAUUCAACAGAUUAUUGUCACUUAAAAGGUCAAUUGAUAGGUGGAAACAGCUAGAAAAACUUCUUCAAUUAAGAGAAAUAAAUUGUGUAAUAGAAAACAGCGAUUUUGUCGGUUUCCUCGGUGCAAAAUAUCUUAAUUGUCUCCUGUGGUCUCUUCUGACGUCAAGCGCUCUUUCUGUACAUUCAAGUUUCUGCUCUAAGAAAAUAGGUUCACUCUUUUAUAGAAGAAUUCUAGAAGGCACGUGGUUGCGACUUGCACUUAUUUUUGUCAUUAUAAAUCGUCUUUUAACUGCCUUUUUUGCUAUUUUAUAUUGCCUUUCUCCUAUUUAAUAGAUCAUUGAAACCCGACCUUUAAUCAUCAAAAAUCAGAUCAAAGGCUCAUUAAAUAAUUUGUAGUGAAUUCUCUGCACAAAUAAGAUAAGACUAUUUUGAAUAACUCCUCACAAAACUCGAAUAUAAUUCGUUACAAAAAGAAAAUUAUUAGAAUCACUUAACCUAAAAAUAUAUACAUUUGAACAUAUAUUUUUUGAUAAAUAUUUAUUUAGAAAAAAAACCAACAAUCAUGACACCCAUCAAUUGUAAAACAUACAUCCCAUCAUUCGUUCGAGAAAAUUUAGUAAUGAGUACUGAAGCAAACAUAAAUACUAAAGACAAUUCUCUUUACGAUGAAGAAAUACAGUUACGUUCAGGAUUUAGGGAUGACUACCAGUAUUUGUAUCACUGGAUGUUGUUUGCUGCUAGAUGUAGUCAUGAUCCUGAUCCUAAUUACUCUAACUGUUCAGAUUCAGAUCUCCAGAACAACUCAAUUUUAAAUUUGGAUGUUACCCAAAGCAACCGGAUAAAGAAACAUAUAAAACAAAAUUUUAAAACACAAACCUUUAAACACAAGAAAUCCGAACCUGACAAAAAGAAAACCAAAACUGAAACAUGGAAGCUAAUUAAGCAAAUUGCUCUGUUAAUAACACAACAUUUCCCAAAUAUCGUAAUAGAGGAAUGGUAAGGAAUCAGACUCACCAGGUGGUCGAAUCAAAAAAGUCAACAAAGAUGAUGAAUGAAGUUCUCAAAACACAUCUUAGAAAUAUUAACGGCGCUGCUAAUCAAUAAACACAUAAGAUGACUACCAAACCAGAUUAUAGCCUUUAUAAAGACUUGAAGAAGUCUUUACAAGUUCGAUAUUUUAUACCGCAGAAGCAAUUUGACAAAGAAAAUCAUUUUUUGGAGAUCUACGUUUCGGAUAUCCGACAGUCUUAUUAGCUCUUACAAUUCGAUAGCGGAACAUCUAAAACCAGACCCGUGUAUUUGCAAGGAAAUUCUCUAGUUGUUUUUUUUCUCUUCUUCCUUACAGCUUUGACAUUUCCGGUUAAAAGGGAUCACCAAUUACUUGGCAUAGGUGCCCACUGAUCAGUGACCUGUCUGCGCUGCAAUAAGUACAUAUGUAUUAUCACUUCUAUCUUGGUUUCUCGUAGCCAAAUGUUGGACAGAAUAAUAGAAUAAUCAUGCGGUUACUAUAUACAAUUUAUUUUUAUAAAGAAUUACACAUAUUAAAAGGAAAAC